GAUGAAGAACGUAGCGAAAUGCGAUACUUGGUGUGAAUUGCAGAAUCCCGUGAACCAUCGAGUUUUUGAACGCAAGUUGCGCCCGAAGCCGUUAGGCCGAGGGCACGCCUGCCUGGGUGUCACACAUCGUUGCCCCAAUGCCAAUCGCCUCACUUUGUAGGUAUUUGCUUGGGGUGAAUGUUGGCCUCCCGUGAGCUUUGUCUCACGGUUGGUUGAAAAUCGAGUGCAUGGUGUCGGGUGUACCAUGAUGGAUGGUGGUUGAGUGAUGCUCGAGGCCAAUCAUGGGUAACUCCACCAGAAUUGUGCUCGGUGACCCACAUCAAGUCAGGCGGGGCUACCCGCUGAGUUUAAGCAUAUCAAUAAGCGGAGGA
rnacentral:misc_RNA from 1 species